rnacentral:rRNA from 1 species
AUUGAACGCUGGCGGCAGGCCUAACACAUGCAAGUCGAGCGGAUGAAGGGAGCUUGCUCCUGGAUUCAGCGGCGGACGGGUGAGUAAUGCCUAGGAAUCUGCCUGGUAGUGGGGGAUAACGUCCGGAAACGGGCGCUAAUACCGCAUACGUCCUGAGGGUGAAAGUGGGGGAUCUUCGGACCUCUCGCUAUCAGAUGAGCCUAGGUCGGAUUAGCUAGUUGGUGGGGUAAAGGCCUACCAAGGCGACGAUCCGUAACUGGUCUGAGAGGAUGAUCAGUCACACUGGAACUGAGACACGGUCCAGACUCCUACGGGAGGCAGCAGUGGGGAAUAUUGGACAAUGGGCGAAAGCCUGAUCCAGCCAUGCCGCGUGUGUGAAGAAGGUCUUCGGAUUGUAAAGCACUUUAAGUUGGGAGGAAGGGCAGUAAGUUAAUACCUUGCUGUUUUGACGUUACCAACAGAAUAAGCACCGGCUAACUUCGUG